GCUAACUGAGAUCUAACUAUUAUUUCAGGGUAAUAGAUACAUUUAAUGUAUAAGCAAAAGAUAACGUAAGGGAUAAUAAUGAUACUACCUUACUAUAAGUGUUGUCAAAAAUUGGUGCCAGAAGACUCGGUAAGGCCGAAAACGCAAACGUUAAUCAUCAUAAACAGGCGUAAAGGGUUUGUAGGCGGCUUUAACAAAAAUCCCCGCGAAUUGGAGAAUCGGAGAAUCGGAGAAUCUAUAAUUCGUAUAAUCGGAGAAUCGGAGAAUCGGAGAAUCGGAAAAUGGGAUAAAUUUAAAAAUUAAAGCUAGAAUCAAGUAGAGGUAAAUAAUAUAAGUGUCACUAUAAAGGGCCAUAAGACCUAAGUAGUAAUAUACAUUUUCCAUUAUUAUAUAAAAUGCUUAAUCUAGGGGUUCAAUCUUUAGAAAUUUGGUUGAAUACUAAUUUGCGAAAGCUUUUUUACCAAUACGGAAUAUAUGACGCUGAGAAACUAAGGAGAGAMCAGGAAACAGGAUUUGAUACCCCUAUACCCUCUCUGGGAACGAUGAAUGGUAAUUAUUAUAGGAGGUUAAAUUAGACCAAAACAUUAGUAUUAAAGUUAACACAUUAACCAUUCCGCCUUGUGAGUACGGCCUUAAGGUUGAAA
rnacentral:rRNA from 1 species